AUGGACCUUCGAGGGGCUUGUGUAUACGAAGGGGUACUUGGUGCUAAUCCCUGUUCGGUGGUCAAACUUGGCGUCAACAGCAACAACAAGUGGAGGUGCAUGAUGACAGUGGGGCGUCGCGGUCGUCCACUACGGCGGACAGGGCAUGCAGGUCGUGGUGGUAUUGCUCGAGGUAGAAGCAGGAGAUGGCCGGGUCCGGUGCUCGUCAGCAGGCAGCGAAACAAGCUGCUGCUGCUCGAAGAAGGCGGUGGCGCGCUUGCGGCCGAACAGAGGGAGGAAGAGGCGCGGGCGCGAGGUGGCCCUCAGCUGCCAUGGCCGGAGGCGAGCCAGAGCAGCGGGCUGGAAGUCGAGGUCGUCGGAGGACUAGGUCGCCAGAGUGGCGAGGCAAGCCUCUGCUUGUGGCAAUGGCAGCGAUGA
rnacentral:rRNA from 1 species